rnacentral:rRNA from 1 species
CGCGAAUAGCUCAUUACAACAGCCUUAGUUUAUUGGAUCUUAGAGUCCUACUUGGAUAACUGUGGUAAUUCUAGAGCUAAUACACGCAAUUAAUCCUCAACCUUACGGGCGAGGAGCAUUUAUUAGAACAAAACCAAUCGGCUUCGGCCGUAUCUGGUGAAUCUGAAUAACUACGCUGAUCGCAUGGUCUCGUACCGGCGACAUAUCCUUCAAGUGUCUGCCUUAUCAACUGUCGAUGGUAGUUUACACGCCUACCAUGGUUGUAACGGGUAACGGAGAAUAAGGGUUCGACUCCGGAGAGGGAGCCUGAGAAACGGCUACCACAUCCAAGGAAGGCAGCAGGCGCGCAAAUUACCCACUCUCAGAACGAGGAGGUAGUGACGAAAAAUAACGAGACAGUUCUCUAUGAGGUCUGUCAUCGGAAUGGGUACAAUUUAAACCCUUUAACGAGGAUCUAUUGGAGGGCAAGUCUGGUGCCAGCAGCCGCGGUAAUUCCAGCUCCAAUAGCGUAUAUUAAAGUUGUUGCGGUUAAAAAGCUCGUAGUUGGAUCUGCGGUCGUAGACUCUGGUUCCCUCCUAGGGAUACUAGCUGUCUCGACCUACCUUGUUAGAUUUCCCUUGGUGCUCUUUACUGAGUGCCUUGGGUGUCUAGCUCGUUUACUUUGAAAAAAUUAGAGUGCUUAAAGCAGGCAUUUGCCUGAAUAGUGGUGCAUGGAAUAAUGGAAUAGGACCUCGGUUCUAUUUUGUUGGUUUUCGGAGCGUGAGGUAAUGAUUAAGAGGGACAGACGGGGGCAUUCGUACUGCUACGUUAGAGGUGAAAUUCUUGGAUCGUAGCAUGACGAACAACUGCGAAAGCAUUUGCCAAGAAUGUUUUCAUUAAUCAAGAACGAUAGUUAGAGGUUCGAAGGCGAUCAGAUACCGCCC